CCAUUUCAUAAUGGGUGGCCAAGAAAGCCCUUGAUGAGAAGAUGAAUUCUGGUUAAAGAUCUGAAGGAGGUGAGUGAGACUUGACAUGUCUAAGGAGAAAAUGCAGUGAUCUUUUUGUAAUUCUCAAGCUUCUGACUGGCUACACAGGGUUUAUAUUUUUACUAACUCUUAUCAAGUGUAUUAGUUAUCAGCUGCUAUGGAACAAAUGACCCCAAAACUUAGUGGCUUAAAACAACAAAACGUUGUCUCACGGUGAGUCAGGAAUCCAAGUGUGGCUUAUCUGCAUCCCUUUGGCCCGGGGUCUCUCACACAAGGCUGUCAUGAGGGCGUUGGCCAGGACUGCAGUCAUCCCCAGGCUCAGCUAGAAGAGGAUCUGCCUCCGAGAUCACGCAGGUGGCUGUUGACAGACCUCAGGUCCUCACCGGCUGUUAGGUGAAGGUAUCAGUUUCUUGCAGCUUGGACCUCUCCAUGGGGCAGCUUUCCUUUGGUGAAGGCAUACAGGGAAGUCUUACCCCCUGCAAAGUGAUGAGCACUAGACAUCCUUUUCUGUUCAGGAAAGACUCUUGCUGCCAUCAUCAGGAGGGACGUGGCUACCCCUUUAAUACGCCGACUCAAUCAUGGACCCAAACUGUUUCUGCUGGAUUAUUUUAGAGCAGCUAAGGCAGGCUGGGCUUUUUCCAUUAGACUAUGUUAAAUAUUAAAAGACAAU
rnacentral:lncRNA from 10 species